AUUGAACGCUGGCGGCAGGCUUAACACAUGCAAGUCGAGCGAGCGGCGGACGGGUGAGUAAUGUCUGGGAAACUGCCUGAUGGAGGGGGAUAAAGACGGGAAACGGGAGCCAAUACAGGAUAAGAUAAGAUGGGCCAAGAUGGGAUUAGCUAGUAGGGGGGGUAAUGGCUCACCUAGGCGACGAUCCCUACGUGGGCUGAGAGGAUGACCAGCCACACUGGAACUGAGACACGGUCCAGACUCCUACGGGAGGCAGCAGUGGGGAAUAUUGCACAAUGGGCGCAAGCCUGAUGCAGCCAUGCCGCGUGUGUGAAGAAGGCCUUCGGGUUGUAAAGCACUUUCAGCGAGGAGGCUUUACUCUCAGAAGAAUCCCCUGCUAACUCCGUGCCAGCAGCCGCUGUAAUUC
rnacentral:rRNA from 1 species